CGCGUAGGUGGUUUGUUAAGUCAGAUGUGAAAGCCCCGGGCUCAACCUGGGAACUGCAUUUGAUACUGGCAGGCUAGAGUAUGGUAGAGGGAAGUGGAAUUCCGGGUGUAGCGGUGAAAUGCGUAGAUAUCCGGAAGAACACCAGUGGCGAAGGCGGCUUCCUGGACCAAUACUGACGCUGAGGUGCGAAAGCGUGGGGAGCAAACA
rnacentral:rRNA from 1 species